rnacentral:rRNA from 1 species
UACGUAGGGUGCAAGCGUUGUCCGGAAUUAUUGGGCGUAAAGAGCUCGUAGGCGGCUUGUCGCGUCGGCUGUGAAAACCUGGGGCUCAACCCCGGGCCUGCAGCCGAUACGGGCAGACUAGAAUUCGGUAGGGGAGACUGGAAUUCCUGGUGUAGCGGUGAAAUGCGCAGAUAUCAGGAGGAACACCGGUGGCGAAGGCGGGUCUCUGGGCCGAUAUUGACGCUGAGGAGCGAAAGCGUGGGGAGCGAACAGG